rnacentral:rRNA from 1 species
GGAUUCCCCUAGUAACUGCGAGUGAAGCGGGAAAAGCUCAAAUUUARAAUCUGGCAGUCUUUGAUUGUCCGAGUUGUAAUCUGGAGAAGCGUUUUCUGCGCUGGACCGUGUACAAGUCUCUUGGAACAGAGCGUCAUAGAGGGUGAGAAUCCCGUCUUUGACACGGACUACCAGUGCUUUGUGAUGCGCUCUCAAAGAGUCGAGUUGUUUGGGAAUGCAGCUCAAAAUGGGUGGUAAAUUCCAUCUAAAGCUAAAUAUUGGCGAGAGACCGAUAGCGAACAAGUACCGUGAGGGAAAGAUGAAAAGCACUUUGGAAAGAGAGUUAAACAGUACGUGAAAUUGCUGAAAGGGAAACGCUUGAAGUCAGUCGCGUUUACUAGUACUCAGCCUUCCUUUUGGUUGGUGCAUUUACUAGUUAACGGGCCAGCAUCAGUUUUGGUUGCGGGAUAAAGGUCAGAGGAAUGUGGCAACCUCGGUUGUGUUAUAGCCUCUGGUCAUAUACCGUGACUGGGACUGAGGAUCUCAGCACGCCUUUAUGGCGGGGGUUCGCCCACCUUCGUGCUUAGGAUGCUGGCGUAAUGGCUUUAAACGACCCGUCUUGAAACACGGACCAAGGAGUCUAACAUGCCUGCGAGUGUUUGGGUGGAAAACCCGAGCGCGUAAUGAAAGUAAUAGUUGGGAUCUCUGUCGUGGAGAGCACCGACGCCCGGACCAGACCUUCUGUGACGGAUCCGCGGUAGAGCAUGUAUGUUGGGACCCGAAAGAUGGUGAACUAUGCCUGAAUAGGGUGAAGCCAGAGGAAACUCUGGUGGAGGCUCGUAGCGAUUCUGACGUGCAAAUCGAUCGUCAAAUUUGGGUAUAGGGGCGAAAGACUAAUCGAACCAUCUAGUAGCUGGUUCCUGCCGA